rnacentral:rRNA from 1 species
AGAGUUUGAUCAUGGCUCAGAUUGAACGCUGGCGGAAUGCUUUACACAUGCAAGUCGAACGGCAGCACGGACUUCGGUCUGGUGGCGAGUGGCGAACGGGUGAGUAAUAUAUCGGAACGUAUCCAAUAAUGGGGGAUAACUAAUCGAAAGGUUGGCUAAUACCGCAUACGCCCUACGGGGGAAAGCAGGGGAUCUUCGGACCUUGCGUUAAUGGAGCGGCUGAUAUCUGAUUAGCUAGUUGGUGAGGUAAAGGCUCACCAAGGCGACGAUCAGUAGCUGGUCUGAGAGGACGACCAGCCACACUGGAACUGAGACACGGUCCAGACUCCUACGGGAGGCAGCAGUGGGGAAUUUUGGACAAUGGGCGCAAGCCUGAUCCAGCCAUUCCGCGUGAGUGAAGAAGGCCUUCGGGUUGUAAAGCUCUUUCGCAAGGGAAGAAAACUUACUUUUUAAUAAAGAGUGAGGUUGACGGUACCUUGAUAAGAAGCACCGGCUAACUACGUGCCAGCAGCCGCGGUAAUACGUAGGGUGCGAGCGUUAAUCGGAAUUACUGGGCGUAAAGCGUGCGCAGGCGGUUUUGUAAGUCAGAUGUGAAAUCCCCGAGCUCAACUUGGGAACUGCGUUUGAAACUACAAGACUAGAAUAUGUCAGAGGGGGGUAGAAUUCCACGUGUAGCAGUGAAAUGCGUAGAGAUGUGGAGGAAUACCAAUGGCGAAGGCAGCCCCCUGGGAUAAUAUUGACGCUCAUGCACGAAAGCGUGGGGAGCAAACAGGAUUAGAUACCCUGGUAGUCCACGCCCUAAACGAUGUCUACUAGUUGUUGGUGGAGUAAAAUCCAUGAGUAACGCAGCUAACGCGUGAAGUAGACCGCCUGGGGAGUACGGUCGCAAGAUUAAAACUCAAAUGAAUUGACGGGGGCCCGCACAAG